GUUAGAACGGGUUCAAGCCCGGGCUCUGGCGGGGCCACUUCAGGGACAUUCAGAGACUUGUCCCGAAGCCACUCCUGUGUUGUCUUGGCCGUGUGCUUAGGGUUGUUGUCCUGUUAGAAGGUGAACCUUUGCCUCAGUCUGAGGUCCUGAGCGCUCUGGAGAAGGGUUUCAUCAAGGAUCUCUCUCUACUUUGCUCUGUUCUCAUUCAUAUAUCUUUAUGUACAUAUUCUUUAUCCCCUUACACUUGUGUAUAAGACAGUAGUUUUGGAAUUGUUAGUUAGAUUACUUGUUGGUUAUUACUGCAUUGUCGGAACUAGAAGCACAAGCAUUUCGCUACACUCGCAUUAACAUCUGCUAACCAUGUGUAUGUGACAAAUAAAUUUGAUUUGUUUGUUCAUCUUUCCCUCGAUCCUAACUAGUCUCCAAGUCUCUACCUCUGAAAAACAUCCCCACAGGCUGAUGCUGCAAACAAUAGCUGACUGAGGCCAUGUCAGCGGUGUGGAUCAGCUCCUCGCUACUGAGGUCCAGGGCAACUCACCUCAGACAGCUCAGUGUGUUCUCUAGAAGGGCUGUGUUACAACCUCUACUGGUGGUCUCCUCACUACAGAAGACAUGGACACCUGGGAACCCAACCUGGUGCUGUAGAUCCCUCCAUGUGGACAGUCCCCCCUGGUCCCAGGGCAGAGCUUCAGCUACGUCCAUGGGGCCUCCUCA